CCUACGGGGGGCAGCAGUAGGGAAUAUUGCGCAAUGGGCGAAAGCCUGACGCAGCGACGCCGCGUGAGUGAUGAAGGCCUUCGGGUCGUAAAACUCUGUCCUCAGGGAAGAAAAUUUGACGGUACCCAAAGAACAAGCCACGGCUAACUACGUGCCAGCAGCCGCGGUAAUACGUAGGUGGCGAGCGUUAUCCGGAAUUACUGGGUGUAAAGGGCGUGUAGGCGGGGAUGCAAGUCAGAUGUGAAAUUCCGGGGCUCAACCUCGGCACUGCAUCUGAAACUGUGUCUCUUGAGUGCUGGAGAGGAAAGUGGAAUUCCUAGUGUAGCGGUGAAAUGCGUAGAGAUUAGGAGGAACACCAGUGGCGAAGGCGACUUUCUGGACAGCAACUGACGCUGAGGCGCGAGAGCGUGGGGAGCAAACAGGAUUAGAUACCCGUGUAGUC
rnacentral:rRNA from 1 species